AAGCCCAGACUGGGAGAGAGCAAAGCACAAAUGACCUGGUUCCUUCAACAGGUGUGAUAAUGGUCUUGUCAUUACCUCUUCUAAUAAAAGGAUCCUUACGUCUUUGAGGUCCCAAGCACCUGGAGACCAUGGCAGCCUUCCCGAGGCCUCCAAGACCAAGGCCAGCGUCACUGGGUGGGGCUCUCAGAGCGGAGCCUGG